UGUAUGAUUUUUUGUACUUCCCUUCCCGGUAGCUUGCCUACCUGGUCAUCCGAAAUACAGUCGACAAAUGCAUGUUUUCCUGUAGCUUAUAGUUUCAUGACUAUACGCUCAACUGAAGCAAGUUCCAUAAUUACCUUAAUAGGUUCUAUUGCUGCUAGCUCAGUUGGGGGUGUUGUGAAUCUUUGAGUGUCGGGAUACAUGAGGCUGUUGAUAAUACGGGUUGUGGGGACCCCUCUCAAAUUUCGUCAUCAAAUCAGGUGGGAUUACCCGCUGAACUUAA
rnacentral:misc_RNA from 1 species